CCGAGUGAAAACUCCCAAACCCCAUGUGAACCUUACCUAUCGUUGCUUCGGCGGUGACGCCCCGGCGCCCUCGGGCCCGGAGCCAGGCGCCCGCCGGAGACCCCAAACCCUCAUGUUUUAGUGGUUUUCUCCUCUGAGUGACACAUAAACAAAUAAAUAA
rnacentral:misc_RNA from 1 species